AAUCCAUGGUGAGGAAACCUGCGCAAUAGAUCCUUAUAUCUCUCCUAUGCAUCGUAAAGAGUUUCUAAGUCCAUCUGCACAAACGAAGAGAUAUCAUUAUGUAAUU
rfam:Gossypium arboreum cultivar AKA8401 contig_31419_3, whole genome shotgun sequence.